AGUGAACGCUGGCGGUAGGCCUAACACAUGCAAGUCGAACGGCAGCACCGUCAGUGCUUGCUCUUACGGGUGGCGAGUGGCGGCCGGGUGAGGAAUACAUCGGAAUCUACUUUUUCGUGGGGUAUAACGUAGGGAAACUUACGCUAAUACCUCAUAGGUCCUACUGGUGAAAGCAGGGGAUCUUCGGACCUUGCGCGAUUGAAUUAGCCGAUGUCGGCUUAGCUAGUUGGCGGGGUAAAGGCCCACCAAGGCGACGAUCCGUAGCUGGACUGAGAGGCUGAUCAGCCACACUGGAACUGAGACACGGUCCAGACUCCUACGGGAGGCAGCAGUAGGGAAUAUUAGACAAUGGGCGCAAGCCUGAUCCAGCCGUACCGCGUGGGUGAAGAAGGCCUUCGGGUUGUAAAGCCCUUUUGUCGGGAAAGAAGAGCAGCAGGUUAAUACCCCGCUGUGCUGACGGUACCCAAAGAAUAAGCACCGGCUAACUUCGUG
rnacentral:rRNA from 1 species